rnacentral:rRNA from 2 species
AAUCCAUAGGUUAAUGAGGCGAACCGGGGGAACUGAAACAUCUAAGUACCCCGAGGAAAAGAAAUCAACCGAGAUUCCCCCAGUAGCGGCGAGCGAACGGGGAGGAGCCCAGAGCCUGAAUCAGCAUGUGUGUUAGUGGAAGCGUCUGGAAAGGCGCGCGAUACAGGGUGACAGCCCCGUACACAAAAGCGCAUGUGCUGUGAGCUCGAUGAGUAGGGCGGGACACGUGGUAUCCUGUCUGAAUAUGGGGGGACCAUCCUCCAAGGCUAAAUACUCCUGACUGACCGAUAGUGAACCAGUACCGUGAGGGAAAGGCGAAAAGAACCCCGGCGAGGGGAGUGAAAAAGAACCUGAAACCGUGUACGUACAAGCAGUGGGAGCCCCACCACUAAGCCAGUGGUGAACUCCACAUACGCAUCCUUUGCUGAGGAUACGGUUAACGGAGCGAAAGCGACGUUCAACCGCAAAAGAAGCAGAGGGGGCUUAGUGGUGGGGUGACUGCGUACCUUUUGUAUAAUGGGUCAGCGACUUAUAUUCUGUAGCAAGGUUAACCGUAUAGGGGAGCCGGAGGGAAACCGAGUCUUAAUUGGGCGUUAAGUUGCAGGGUAUAGACCCGAAACCCGGUGAUCUAGCCAUGGGCAGGUUGAAGGUUGGGUAACACUAACUGGAGGACCGAACCGACUAAUGUUGAAAAAUUAGCGGAUGACCUGUGGCUGGGGGUGAAAGGCCAAUCAAACCGGGAGAUAGCUGGUUCUCCCCGAAAGCUAUUUAGGUAGCGCCUCGUGAAUUCAUCUCCGGGGGUAGAGCACUGUUUCGGCUAGGGGGCCAUCCCGGCUUACCAACCCGAUGCAAACUGCGAAUACCGGAGAAUGUUAUCACGGGAGACACACGGCGGGUGCUAACGUCCGUCGUGAAGAGGGAAACAACCCAGACCGCCAGCUAAGGUCCCAAAGUCAUGGUUAAGUGGGAAACGAUGUGGGAAGGCCCAGACAGCCAGGAUGUUGGCUUAGAAGCAGCCAUCAUUUAAAGAAAGCGUAAUAGCUCACUGGUCGAGUCGGCCUGCGCGGAAGAUGUAACGGGGCUAAACCAU